CCUACGGGAGACUGCAGUGGGGAAUAUUGCACAAUGGGGGAAACCCUGAUGCAGCGACGCCGCGUGAGCGAAGAAGUAUUUCGGUAUGUAAAGCUCUAUCAGCAGGGAAGAAAAUGACGGUACCUGAGUAAGAAGCUCCGGCUAACUACGUGCCAGCAGCCGCGGUAAUACGUAUGGAGCAAGCGUUAUCCGGAUUUACUGGGUGUAAAGGGAGCGCAGGCGGCCUUGCAAGUCUGAUGUGAAAUCCCGCGGCUCAACCGCGGAACUGCAUUUGAAACUGUUUUUCUUGAGUACCGGAGAGGUCAUCGGAAUUCCUUGUGUAGCGGUGAAAUGCGUAGAUAUAAGGAAGAACACCAGUGGCGAAGGCGGAUGACUGGACGGCAACUGACGGUGAGGCGCGAAAGCGUGGGGAGCAAACAGGAUUAGAUACCCGGGGUC
rnacentral:rRNA from 1 species